rnacentral:tRNA from 1 species
GUUACGGUUUGUACGCGGACUGAAAAUCCGCGUGCCGAGGGUUCAAGUCCCCCCCUGACCACCA